CCUACGGGUGGCAGCAGUGAGGAAUAUUGGUCAAUGGACGGAAGUCUGAACCAGCCAUGCCGCGUGCAGGAAGACGGUUCUAUGAGUUGUAAACUGCUUUUGUAAGAGGGCAAACUCAGAUACGCGUACCUUUCCGAAUGUACCGUACGAAUAAGGAUCGGCUAACUCCGUGCCAGCAGCCGCGGUAAUACGGAGGAUUCAAGCGUUAUCCGGAUUUAUUGGGUUUAAAGGGUGCGUAGGCGGUCGGAUAAGUUUGCGGUGAAAUCCCGAGGCUCAACUUCGGGAUUGCCUCUGAUACUGUUCGGCUUGAGAGUAGUUGCGGUAGGCGGAAUGUAUGGUGUAGCGGUGAAAUGCUUAGAGA
rnacentral:rRNA from 1 species